UACGGGGGGGGCAAGCGUUGUUCGGAAUUACUGGGCGUAAAGGGCUCGUAGGCGGCCAACUAAGUCAGACGUGAAAUCCCUCGGCUUAACCGGGGAACUGCGUCUGAUACUGGUUGGCUUGAAUCCGGGAGAGGGAUGUGGAAUUCCAGGUGUAGCGGUGAAAUGCGUAGAUAUCGUAAGGAAGACCAGUGGCGAAGGCGGGUCUCUGGACAGUUCCUGACGCUGAGGCACGAAGGCCAGGGGAGCAAACGGG
rnacentral:rRNA from 1 species